GACGGAGGGUGCUAGCGUUGUUCGGAAUCACUGGGCGUAAAGGGCGCGUAGGCGGCCUCAGGUGUCGGAUGUGAAAGCCCGGGGCUCAACCCCGGAGGUGCAUCCGAAACUCUGGGGCUGGAGGUCGGAAGAGGAGGGUGGAAUACCCAGUGUAGAGGUGAAAUUCGUAGAUAUUGGGAGGAACACCAGUGGCGAAGGCGGUCCCCUGGGCCGGAACUGACGCUGAGGCGCGAAAGCGUGGGUAGCAAACGGG
rnacentral:rRNA from 1 species